rnacentral:rRNA from 1 species
AUCGUACCCCAAACCGACACAGGUGGUCAGGUAGAGAAUACCAAGGCGCUUGAGAGAACUCGGGUGAAGGAACUAGGCAAAAUGGUGCCGUAACUUCGGGAGAAGGCACGCUGAUACGUAGGUGAAGUCCCUUGCGGAUGGAGCUGAAAUCAGUCGAAGAUACCAGCUGGCUGCAACUGUUUAUUAAAAACACAGCACUGUGCAAACACGAAAGUGGACGUAUACGGUGUGACGCCUGCCCGGUGCCGGAAGGUUAAUUG